CCAAACAUACAAUGCAUUUCAAAGCAUUCACACAAUAUGCACGAUAUGUGUAGAUACAACAUGGCAUCAAAACAUAAUUCUAUGACUCAAGUAUUUAUUAGAGACUCAUAAGGGUCAACAUAGUGUGAUAUUACAAACAGGGGUCACAAGACCCAACACUCAAUUCAUACAAGCAAAAAGCGGAAGCAUAACAUGUCUCGGUACAGACAUCUAGGAAGUAAAAAGACUGAGAAAGCCUGUCUAUAUACAAGACCCUCCAUAGGAACCAGACCUCUAUCUGGGAUUCCCAAGCUACUCGGUUAACAUCGAUCUUAUCGUCGAAACCACUAGCGAGAGUAGAGUCUCCUAUGCAAAAACAUAAAUUAAGCAACAACGAGUACAGAGGUACUCACCAAGACUUACAUCAGAACUAACUACAUAUGUAUCAGUACCAACAAAGGGGGUUGUGGGGUUUAAUGCAGCAAGCCAUCUUUGACUCAGUGGUUAUCCUAUACUACGACUACCAACAGUUUAAUAAUCUGAGAAAGCACACACGAGUCCAGUAGCUAGUGACCACAACAGUAGACCACUACAGAUCCACUUCCGUCUCCCUACGAGAAGCCCAUCUAUAGCACUCACACUUGUCUUGCAUAUUUUACAAUAGCCACUUCAAGUUGUUUAUGACCAUAUAAGUUUCCAAGUAGUCCAUAUGUGCGGAUGCAACUAAUUGAAUAGAUGAUUAUCCUGCAGGGGUGUACUUGUUCACACACGCUCUCACCACUUAUCACCAUAUGCACGUCAUGCAUCUCAGCAACAUUCAAGCGGAAGCACUGGCGUGGAUGUCCGACAUGACCUGACUAACCACACAAGACUCUAGUCCAGGUUUAUCGCCUAUUUGAG
rnacentral:lncRNA from 1 species